rnacentral:rRNA from 1 species
ACGCGAAAGCCCCCUUCGGGGGGCAAGUAGAGUGGCGCACGGGUGAGUAACACGUAGGUAAUCUACCUUUGGAUUGGGAAUAACCACCGGAAACGGUGGCUAAUACCGAAUAAUGCAGCGGCACCUAAUGGUGACAGUUGUUAAAGCGGGGGAUCGCAAGACCUCGCGUCUGAAGAGGAGCCUGCGGCGGAUUAGCUAGUUGGUAAGGUAACGGCUUACCAAGGCGAUGAUCCGCAGCCGGCCUGAGAGGGCGGUCGGCCACACUGACACUGACAUACGGGUCAGACUCCUACGGGAGGCAGCAGUCGGGAAUUUUGGGCAAUGGGCGAAAGCCUGACCCAGCAACGCCGCGUGAAGGAUGAAAUCCUUCGGGAUGUAAACUUCGCAAGAACGGGAAGAAUAAGUAGGGGACAAUACCCUCUACGAUGACGGUACUGUUUGUAAGCUCCGGCUAACUCCGUGCCAGCAGCCGCGGUAAUACGGGGGGAGCAAGCGUUG